UACGAAGGGGGCUAGCGUUGUUCGGAAUUACUGGGCGUAAAGCGCGCGCAGGCGGUCUUCCAAGUCAGUGGUGAAAGCCCGGAGCUCAACUCCGGAACUGCCAUUGAAACUGUGAGACUGGAGUACGAGAGAGGUGAGUGGAAAUUCCCAGUGUAGAGGUGAAAUUCGUAGAUAUUGGGAAGAACACCGGUGGCGAAGGCGGCUCACUGGCUCGUAACUGACGCUCAGGCGCGACAGCGUGGGGAUCAAACAGG
rnacentral:rRNA from 1 species